rnacentral:rRNA from 1 species
AACGAACGCUGGCGGCAUGCCUAACACAUGCAAGUCGAACGAGACCUUCGGGUCUAGUGGCGCACGGGUGCGUAACGCGUGGGAACCUGCCCUUAGGUUCGGAAUAACUCCCCGAAAGGGGUGCUAAUACCGGAUAAUGUCUUCGGACCAAAGAUUUAUCGACUUUGGAUGGGCCCGCGUUGGAUUAGCUAGUUGGUAGGGUAAAAGCCUACCAAGGCGACGAUCCAUAGCUGGUCUGAGAGGAUGAGCAGCCACACUGGGACUGGGACACGGCCCAGACUCCUACGGGAGGCAGCAGUGGGGAAUAUUGGAAAAUGGGCGGAAGCAUGAUCCAGCAAUGCCGCGUGAGUGAUGAAGGCCUUAGGGUUGUAAAGCUCUUUUACCCGGGAUGAUAAUGACAGUACCGGGAGAAUAAGCUCCGGCUAACUCCGUG